UAGGGAAUCUUCGGCAAUGGACGAAAGUCUGACCGAGCAACGCCGCGUGAGUGAAGAAGGUUUUCGGAUCGUAAAACUCUGUUGUUAGAGAAGAACAAGGACGUUAGUAACUGAACGUCCCCUGACGGUAUCUAACCAGAAAGCCACGGCUAACUACGUGCCAGCAGCCGCGGUAAUACGUAGGUGGCAAGCGUUGUCCGGAUUUAUUGGGCGUAAAGCGAGCGCAGGCGGUUUCUUAAGUCUGAUGUGAAAGCCCCCGGCUCAACCGGGGAGGGUCAUUGGGAACUGGGAGACUUGAGUGCAGAAGAGGAGAGUGGAAUUCCAUGUGUAGCGAUGAAAUGCGUAGAUAUAUGGAGGAACACCAGUGGCGAGGGCGGCUCUCUGGUCUGUAACUGACGCUGAGGCUCGAAAGCGUGGGGAGCAAACAGG
rnacentral:rRNA from 1 species